CUCAUUCUCUUCCCCCUUCUUUCCUUCACCACUAGGCAGAGAACUCAAUGACCAAUCUUCAUUUACUCCAUUGUCAUUUUCUUAGCAUUGACUUCUUGAACCUGAAAAUGAUAAAACUAAUUGAUUAGAUUCAAUGUACAAUCAAUUUUUAGUGAAGCAUGAAUGUUAGACUCAAUUCUUCAAAGGAUCUUGCUUGUGUUUCACAAAGCCUCACAUUUUCAAAGAUCUUGCUUGUGUUUCACAAAGCUAUGGCGAAGGAAGGAAGGAGUGGUUGAUAACAACUCAUGGAGUCUACACACAACCAAUAGAUGACAGUGACUUUAAGUAAAAUGGUAACAUAAUGAGAGGACAAAGUUCAAAGGCUAUUGGAAUAUCCUUAAUUAUUUAAACUCAGCAGAAAGAUAUGCAGACACAAGUCAUUGAAAUAUCCACUCCUUACUACAAUUCUUAUACUUCUAAAAUUCCUUAUUCUUUGAUAGAUAAUAUAUAUAAAGUCCAUAUGUUAUAAACACUAGAUGAACAAAGCAUGAGGCCAUGAAUAAUUACAAUGAAAACAUGGCAUAUAAUGAGAUUGCCUGUAUUGCUUCCACCUUUAUAACACCCUCAUAUUCAAAUAGGGAAGUAAACUUAUAGU